GUCCGUCGGAGACUACAAAAAAUGAGGUCCUGUAUCACAGCAGGUGUGGCACGAUAAAGAUCUCUCCCUGCUCAAAGGCCGUAAGCGCUGAGCACAGACCUAAGUUUGGCAGUCCUUCACUGUCGAUGAUCAGAACAUCACAGUUAAACCCCCACACAGUGUUUGCUGGGAUAUAAAGAGCUGAGAGUUGUCUAUCAAGAGACGAUAUAAGGAGAUCAGGGAAGAACGACUGACCACUUACCAGGGUAAACAGGUACUCACCAGCCAGUUAGAGGGUC